CGUGCAGGCGGUUCGGUAAGUUGGGCGUGAAAUCUCCCGGCUCAACUGGGAGAGGUCGUUCAAUACUACCGGACUUGAGAGCAGUAGAGGAAGAUGGAAUUCCCGGUGUAGUGGUGAAAUGCGUAGAUAUCGGGAGGAACACCAGUGGCGAAGGCGAUCUUCUGGACUGUUUCUGACGCUCAGACGCGAAAGCUAGGGUAGUAAACGGGAUUAGAGACCCCGGUAAUCCUAGCUGUAAACGAUGUGAACUUGGCGUCGGUGGCUUAAACACCAUCGGUGCCGUAGCUAACGCGAUAAGUUCACCGCCUGGGGACUACGAUCGCAAGAUUAAA
rnacentral:rRNA from 1 species